GGGGAUGUAUUUGGUUUCGACAAUAACUCUGAAGUAUGAAUAGCGAGUAGUGGAUGUUCGCUUCGGCCACUAUAAAAAAGCGAAAAUUAAAUAUAAACGCUGAUAAUAGAGAAUUAGCAUACGCUGCUUAAGAAUAGCAGUGCAUCUUACUAAAAUUCCCCACAAUUUUAGAUAGGGUGUCGAUUUAGUGGGAAACGAAUUUACUUUGACGUCAUAGAAGUAAAGGGUAUUUAUAUGGCUACUUAAAGGAUAAAUUUGUUUAUUAGUUUACUUUUAAGAAAUUUUAUUAAUAAACUGCACUCGGAGAAUUUCAUAUGAAUGGGUUGUUGGACAGGAGUUCAACUCUCCUCAUCUCCACCA
rnacentral:tmRNA from 1 species